UUAAACUGAAGAGUUUGAUCAUGGCUCAGAUUGAACGCUGGCGGCAGGCUUAACACAUGCAAGUCGAG
rnacentral:rRNA from 1 species